rnacentral:rRNA from 1 species
GAUGAACGCUAGCGGCAGGCUUAACACAUGCAAGUCGAGGGGCAGCAUAAUGGAUAGCAAUACAGAUUGAUGGCGACCGGCGCACGGGUGAGUAACGCGUAUGCAACUUACCUAUCAGAGGGGGAUAGCCCGGCGAAAGUCGGAUUAAUACCCCAUAAAACAGGGGUCCCGCAUGGGAAUAUUUGUUAAAGAUUCAUCGCUGAUAGAUAGGCAUGCGUUCCAUUAGGCAGUUGGUGGGGUAACGGCCCACCAAACCGACGAUGGAUAGGGGUUCUGAGAGGAAGGUCCCCCACAUUGGUACUGAGACACGGACCAAACUCCUACGGGAGGCAGCAGUGAGGAAUAUUGGUCAAUGGCCGAGAGGCUGAACCAGCCAAGUCGCGUGAAGGAGAAGGAUCUAAUGGUUUGUAAACUUCUUUUAUAGGGGAAUAAAGUGGAGGACGUGCCUUUUUGUAUGUACCCUAUGAAUAAGCAUCGGCUAACUCCGUGCCAGCCAGCCG